rnacentral:rRNA from 1 species
UACGAAGGGUGCAAGCGUUGUUCGGAAUCAUUGGGCGUAAAGCGAGUGUAGGCGGUUAAUUAAGUCAGUUGUGAAAUCCCUUGGCUCAACCAAGGAAGUGCAUCUGAAACUAAUUAACUAGAAGAUGGUAGAGGAAGGUGGAAUUCCAAGUGUAGAGGUGAAAUUCGUAGAUAUUUGGAGGAAUACCUGAGGCGAAGGCGGCCUUCUGGGCCAUUCUUGACGCUGAGACUCGAAAGCGUGGGUAGCAAACAGG